rnacentral:rRNA from 1 species
UACGUAUGGGGCAAGCGUUGUUCGGAAUUAUUGGGCGUAAAGGGCGUCUAGGCGGGGGAUUAAGUUAGAUGUGAAAGCCAUGGGCUCAACCCAUGAACUGCAUCUAAGACUGGUUCUCUUGAGUUCGGGAGAGGAGAGCGGAAUUCCAGGUGUAGCGGUGAAAUGCGUAGAUAUCUGGAAGAACACCAGUGGCGAAGGCGGCUCUCUGGCCUAGAACUGACGCUGAAGCGCGAAAGCGUGGGGAGCGAACAGG